rnacentral:lncRNA from 1 species
GGUAACUCAGUGCUGACUCUGGGCUCUGUACCUGCAGCCACGAGGGUCAACACACCACCUGCCUGCAGAGCCCGCUCCCGGGACACCGGCUGCGGUCUGGGCGGUAAGGCUGAGAGAAGGGAACUGGUGGCCUGAGGAGGAAGAGGAAGUCGAGUCUGGAAACUGUUGCUGGACAACCCUGAACGGGCUCCUGUUAUCACCUCUGGGAGACAGGCAUUUCCUCCACUGCGUUCAGAUAUAGGACAGCCACCAGCUCCCCUGCUCUGCCCUCCGCAAAAUCCUUAGCCGGCCUGUUAGAAACCUGGCUGACCACCUUGCCGUUGGCUGAUAGGCAACUUGGAUAACCUCCCUCCGUCAGUCAGUAAGUAGUCACUGACAUAAAACAGACAUAAAAACAUUUCUGACUAAUCUAUUGAAUGUACGUGCACGACCAUGAGAAUCCAUCCCCCAAAUCUCAUAGAGCUGGUUCACCCGGGGCUCCUACUGUGCCACUCUG